rnacentral:rRNA from 1 species
GACGAACGCUGGCGGCGUGCUUAACACAUGCAAGUCGAGCGGUAAGGCCCUUCGGGGUACACGAGCGGCGAACGGGUGAGUAACACGUGGGUAAUCUGCCCCAUACUCUGGGAUAAGCCUUGGAAACGAGGUCUAAUACCGGAUAUGACCCCGCAUCGCAUGGUGUGGGGUGGAAAGUUCCGGCGGUACAGGAUGAACCCGCGGCCUAUCAGCUUGUUGGUGGGGUAGUGGCCUACCAAGGCGACGACGGGUAGCCGGCCUGAGAGGGCGACCGGCCACACUGGGACUGAGACACGGCCCAGACUCCUACGGGAGGCAGCAGUGGGGAAUAUUGCACAAUGGGCGAAAGCCUGAUGCAGCGACGCCGCGUGAGGGAUGACGGCCUUCGGGUUGUAAACCUCUUUCAGCAGGGACGAAGCGCAAGUGACGGUACCUGCAGAAGAAGCACCGGCUAACUACGUGCCAGCCGCCGCAGUAAAAC